rnacentral:lncRNA from 1 species
UUCUACUACCUGUAUCGGGUUAUCAAGACCAUGGAUCUCCUCGAUAGGUGGUAGAUUAUUGACAUCUUCAGAUUUAAUGCCUUUCUCUUUCAUAGAUUUCUUAGCUUCUUGCAUAUCUUCAGGACUGGGGAAUAGGAUACCUCUUUUCUUAGGAGUUGGCUUUGGAGGUGGUUCGGGAAUAGUCCAAGCAUUCUCAUUGCACAAGAUAUUAUUCAAUAGGAUCUCAGCUUGUUCUACGGUUCGUUCCCUAAAAACAUAACCAGCACAACUAUCUAGGUGGUCUCUAGAAGCAUCGGUUAGUCCACUCUAGAAGAUAUCAAGUAUCUCAUUCUUCUCAAGAGGGUGAUCAUGCAAAGCAUUCAGUAGCUGGACGAGCCUCCUCCAAGCUUGUGGGAGACUCUCUUCUUCAACUUGCGCAAAGUUGUAUAUUUCCUGCAAGGCAGCUUGCUUCUUAUG